GACGAACGCUGGCGGCGUGCUUAACACAUGCAAGUCGAACGGAAAGGCCCUGCUUGCGUGGUGUUCGCGUGGCGCACGGGUGUGUGACACAUGGGUGUUACGUCCUCUACUUUGUGGUAUGACUUCGCGACUGUGUGUAUUAUCGGGUAGAGGCGCUUCUUCUUGUGGUGGUUGGUAGGUUUUUUUGGUUUGGGAUGGGUUCGCGGGCUAUCAGCUUGUUGGUGGGGUAGUGGCCUACCAAGGCAGCGACGGGUAGCCGGCCUGAGAGGGUGGGCGGCCACAUUGGGACUGAGAUACGGCCCAGACGCCUACGGGAGGCAGCAGUGGGGAAUAUUGCACAAUGGGCGCAAGCCUGAUGCAGCGACGCCGCGUGCGGGAUGACGGCCUUCGGGUUGUAAACUCCUUUCGCUUGGGACGAAGCGUUUGUGACGGUAACCGAGAAAAGAGGAACGGCUAACUUCGUG
rnacentral:rRNA from 1 species